AACAGGCUGAUACCGCCCAAGAGUUCAUAUCGACGGCGGUGUUUGGCACCUCGAUGUCGGCUCAUCACAUCCUGGGGCUGAAGUAGGUCCCAAGGGUAUGGCUGUUCGCCAUUUAAAGUGGUACGCGAGCUGGGUUUAGAACGUCGUGAGACAGUUCGGUCCCUAUCUGCCGUGGGCGCUGGAGAACUGAGGGGGGCUGCUCCUAGUACGAGAGGACCGGAGUGGACGCAUCACUGGUGUUCGGGUUGUCAUGCCAAUGGCACUGCCCGGUAGCUAAAUGCGGAAGAGAUAAGUGCUGAAAGCAUCUAAGCACGAAACUUGCCCCGAGAUGAGUUCUCCCUGAGACUU
rnacentral:rRNA from 1 species